rnacentral:rRNA from 1 species
GAUGAACGCUGGCGGCGUGCCUAAUACAUGCAAGUCGAGCGAACAGAUGAGAAGCUUGCUUCUCUGAUGUUAGCGGCGGACGGGUGAGUAACACGUGGGUAACCUACCUAUAAGACUGGGAUAACUCCGGGAAACCGGGGCUAAUACCGGAUAAUAUUUUGAACCGCAUGGUUCAAUAGUGAAAGACGGUUUCGGCUGUCACUUAUAGAUGGACCCGCGCCGUAUUAGCUAGUUGGUAAGGUAAUGGCUUACCAAGGCGACGAUACGUGGCCGACCUGAGAGGGUGAUCGGCCACACUGGAACUGAGACACGGUCCAGACUCCUACGGGAGGCAGCAGUAGGGAAUCUUCCGCAAUGGGCGAAAGCCUGACGGAGCAACGCCGCGUGAGUGAUGAAGGUCUUCGGAUCGUAAAACUCUGUUGUUAGGGAAGAACAAAUUUGUUAGUAACUAAACAAGUCUUGACGGUACCUAACCAGAAAGCCACGGCUAACUACGUGCCAGCAGCCGCAGUAA